rnacentral:rRNA from 1 species
AGUGAACGCUGGCGGUAGGCCUAACACAUGCAAGUCGAACGGCAGCACAGUAAGAGCUUGCUCUUACGGGUGGCGAGUGGCGGACGGGUGAGGAAUACAUCGGAAUCUACUUUUUCGUGGGGGAUAACGUAGGGAAACUUACGCUAAUACCGCAUACUACCUACGGGUGAAAGCAGGGGAUCUUCGGACCUUUCGCGAUUGAAUGAGCCGAUGUCGGAUUAGCUAGUUGGCGGGGUAAAGGCCCACCAAGGCGACGAUCCGUAGCUGGUCUGAGAGGAUGAUCAGCCACACUGGAACUGAGACACGGUCCAGACUCCUACGGGAGGCAGCAGUGGGGAAUAUUGGACAAUGGGCGAAAGCCUGAUCCAGCAAUACCGCGUGGGUGAAGAAGGCCUUCGGGUUGUAAAGCCCUUUUGUUGGGAAAGAAAAGCAGCAGGUUAAUACCCCGCUGUUCUGACGGUACCAAAAGAAUAAGCACCGGCUAACUUCGUG